AGUGAACGCUGGCGGUAGGCCUAACACAUGCAAGUCGAACGGCAGCACAGUAAGAGCUUGCUCUUACGGGUGGCGAGUGGCGGACGGGUGAGGAAUACAUCGGAAUCUACUUUUUCGUGGGGGAUAACGUAGGGAAACUUACGCUAAUACCGCAUACGACCUACGGAUGAAAGCAGGGGAUCUUCGGACCUUGCGCGAUUGAAUGAGCCGAUGUCGGAUUAGCUAGUUGGCGGGGUAAAGGCCCACCAAGGCGACGAUCCGUAGCUGGUCUGAGAGGAUGAUCAGCCACACUGGAACUGAGACACGGUCCAGACUCCUACGGGAGGCAGCAGUGGGGAAUAUUGGACAAUGGGCGCAAGCCUGAUCCAGCCAUACCGCGUGGGUGAAGAAGGCCUUCGGGUUGUAAAGCCCUUUUGUUGGGAAAGAAAAGCAGCAGGUUAAUACCCCGCUGUUCUGACGGUACCCAAAGAAUAAGCACCGGCUAACUUCGU
rnacentral:rRNA from 1 species